GGAAGGAGUUUGUGAACCAGCUCAAUGACAGUAUCUUUAAACUGCUGAACAUCCAGCAUGCUGUGUCCAGUGCAUACCACCCCCAGACCAAUGGACAGGAUGAAAGGACAAAUCAAAAUAUAAAGCGUGCUCUGAGGAAGUAUGUCAACGAAAGCCAUAAUGACUGGGACCUUCACCUUCCUGCAGUUGUUUAUGGAAUUAACACUGCCAAGCAGUCUUCAACCAAAUACACCCCAUACUUCCUCUUGUUCCACCGUCACCCACGUCUGCCCGAG